rnacentral:lncRNA from 1 species
GAUUGUAAUAGGCCUAUUUGCCCGGCCCAUUUUAUUAAAAAAACCAAAUAAAAAUAAAUAAAGUCCAUUUACAAACUGCUAAUCUAUUUACAACCCAAUUAAACCCGUGGCCCAAUAACCAAUUACAAACCCAACUCUACCCUAACCCAAAAUACAAUCCUAAAUCCAAUUACAAUUAAGCCCAAAAGUAGCCCAAAUUCCAGAAACCCUAGGGGUUCCCAGAACAAUCUGGCGUUCCAGGUUCCCGAGCGCUGCGCCUCAAGCCUCAGCCGCUGCAGCCGAGCCAGGCCUCCUCCCCGCGCGUGCAGAACCUCCGCGCCAAAUCCACACGCACCCUCAGCGCCAGGCUGGUUCAUCACCUGCAACAAACUCACAAACAAACAAAAGAAAAACGAAAUAACAAGAAAAAAGGACAACAGAUUGUAUUUCAGAUUUUUCAUUUUAUCUUAUUUUUAUUAUUAUUUUGGCUAUAAAGAGCCAAUACAAACAUUGUAAACGGAUCUUUUUGACGGAUAUUGAAUAGAAAAACAGAAAAAUUUCAGAGAAAAAAAGAUCAAAAAUUGGAAAGGUGAUUUCAGACUCUUUUUCCUGGAUUUUCUUUUCUCUUUUUCAGAUAAAAUCAAAGCAAGAAAAUCGAGGGCUAAAAGUUUACCUGUUACUCGAACAUCGUUUACUCCGCCGUAAUCGGAGCCAGACGAUCGUUCGUAGAGCUUCCGAUUAGCCCGAUUACAGGAGCGGCGCAUGGGGAUUUUCUUUUGCCUUAGGUUUUUAGAAUGGAAACGGCUGUUAAAUGUUAGAGUUUAGUUAGGCUUAUUUAUAAUGGAGGAAACGACGCCGUUUAGAGCCUGCACCAGUGGCCUUAAAACGGCGCCGUAUUGGCCCUACAACCCGCGCGUGUGACCCGACCCAGGGAGGAUCCGCGCAUUCUGACUCAUUGGUUUAUUUGCGCUGAGAUUCCUCUUUGUUUUGCGUUGUUUCAAUUCGAUUUCUUUCAAUUUUUUAAUUUAUACCAUAUCUUUUAUUCUAUUUUCAUUUUAGUCCAUUUUAAACGACAUCAUUUCUGUGUUGACUUGGAUUGUUAUGAUGUUUGUGUUUAAUUGUUAGUUUAGUCCCUCAAUGUUGAAACAGAUUUCGAUUUAGUACAAAUUCAGUUUUCUUUUAAAUUUCCACAAUAUUUUAAAUUAAUUAAAUCCUACUUUCGAAUAUCAUAAUAUUUAACAUUACUUUUAACAUUUAUUUUAUAUAGUGUUUAAAUUUAUUAUAGUUCAAAAUAAUAAAUCACUAUUUUUUUGUUUAUUUUUAAUUUAUUAUAUACCAAUAUUUGGAGUCAAUUGUAUUUUAAUUUUGUCUUAAUUCAUUAUUAUUCUAAUUUUAUUUAAGUCUCGAUUUUAAAUUUGUUGAUUAUUGUUCUAAACUUCAAAAAAUAUUUUGCAUAUUUAAUCUUGAUUUUAAAAGGCUUUUUAAUAAAUCAAAUUUUACAAUAAUUCGUAUUUUUAAUAUCAUUUUAAUAUUGGCUAAUAUCAUCAUAAUUGUUGCUAUUAAUUUUUAAAUUUUUCACAUAUCUAAUGUUGUCUUCGAAAGUUUUCUUUAGAUAAAUUAAUUCAUAUUUUAAUUCAUCAUUUUUAACCUUAUUUUAAUACUCACCUUAUUAUUGUAUUUUAAAUUUGUUUUAAAUCUUCAUAUUAAUUAUUAUUUUUAUUGUUUUAAUUAACAUAUUCUUAGGAAUUCGAUUAUUGAUUUAUUGGAUGUUUAGUUAUCAAUAUGGAUGAAUUAUAUGUUUGGUUGCUCUUUAAUAUAAAUUUAGAUUAUUAUUUAUCUUUUGUAUCAUAUAUUGCUAUUCAAUUAUAUUGUUUGUAGGAAUUGCAUUUCAUUCAAACAUUAUAAUCGCUUCAUUUCAAAAUUCCUAAAAGGCUUGGUGUUUAACAAUUCUUGAGGGAAUUGUGCUCUAACUUACUGGGCUUCAAUUCUUCUCGAUGAAUUUAUAUCAUCAAGUAUCCAUUUUAUUUAAGACGUACAAUUUUAAAAUAAAAUUCUUUAGAUUUCAAAAUGUUGGAUCCUAACUUACUGGAUACGACAUUUUGUUAUCUCGAUUUUAAAAUAAAGGCAAUAUUUGAUGUUCAAGAAUUUCGAGAGAUUGAACCCUAACUUACUGGAUUCUGAUUUCUCGAUUGACUCAAACAAUCAAAUAUCCUUCUUAAAAUAUGUUUUAAAAUUUUUUAAAACAGGGGCAAACCUAACUUCGAAGAUUGAACUGUUGCACUCUAACUCACUGAGUGUGGCGAUCUAUUUCUUUGAAAUGGGCCCGUCCACUUAAUCAAUUCAAUUAUUUAAGUCUUCAUUUCAUGGGAUAUUUUAAAAUCUUUUCAAAAUUCGACACUAAGACAUUAAACAAUCGAUUCAGUACCAAUUUUGGGCGUUACGAGGGUGCUAACCCUUCCUCGUGCGUAAUCGACUCCCGGACCUAUUUUCUCAAAUCUCGCAGACCUAAAAUUUAUUUUUAAUGGUGAACCGAUCACACCUUAAUAAAAGAUCGGUGGCGACUCCCAUUUCUAUUUUCAAAAUCGAUACCCAUUUUUUCAAAAAUAAAAAAAAUGGUUUCGACAAUGAUGAUGGUGAAUCUAUCAGACAUAGCUUUGAUGUCCUCGUCGGGCUUCAUCAUAAACGUCUCAUAAUUAAGAGUGAGAAUUCUCACAGUUGAUUUCUUGACUUGAUUGGUACCCUCAUGAGUGACCUCCAAUUUGUCUCAAAUUUCUUUGGCAUUGGAACAUGAAGAUACACUACAAUAUUCUUCCGGACCAAGUGCAUAAAAGAGAGUGUGCAUGACCUUGGCAUUGAGUUGUAUGCUUCUCCUAUCUUCCUUAUUUCAUUCCUUCUUACUCUUUGGAACUGAGAUCUCUCUUACUUACUUUUGAGGUAUGGAUGGACCAUCCAUGAUGAUGUCCUAUACGGCAAGAUCAUUAGCUUAUAUGAACAACAUCAUUCUAGUCUUCCAAUAUGAAUAAUUGCACCGUUAAAGUAAGGAAGUUUAUUAAUGAAUUGAGACUUACCAACCAUAAUAGAGCUGAAAGUAAAUGUUAUCUUGUGUGGUUUGAAUAAAUAAAAGUUGAGCUACCUCAGGGAUCUUCUCUUGGUUGUUAGACUGUCUUUUAGAUACUAGCUCCGAUACAAUUGUUAGCUCGAUUAAUCAAACCAAAAUUGCCAAGAGAGGGGUGAAUUGACCUUUAAAAUUUUGGUGGAAGCAAAGAAAGAAUAUGAAACAAUGAACAUAGAGAUUUAGAGUGGUUCGACCCCAAUUGCCUACUCUACUACCUUAACUUUGCAUAACUGUCAUGUGUGAAAUGAUAUGCGAUUUUAUGCAAGUAUACUCGUCGGUUCAAGUAAUAAAGUGAUGAGUGAGUAUCAUUCCCACAAGGAUCGGUUUGAGGCACAAACGUGCUCAAGUUAUUAUAAUAAAAUGCAAUUAAUGUUAUGGCAAAGUCAAUGAUAAAUAUGUAGUGGUAAUUAGUGGAGUAAUGAUGUAAGCAAUACGUAGAAUUGAUGAAUAACUGGAAAUGCUAUGGCAAAAGUGAAAGCAGAAAUGUAAUGGCAAUAACGAGAGUGAUUAUUCGAGUAGACUAUAAACAAAGAAAUAGACAACUUGUGACAAAUAUACUACGACAAAUAUUAAUGAUAGAGUGAUGUUGAUUUGAAAGGUCGAGAUUACCUAGAAUCAACCUUUACUAUCCAUAAUGCCUUGGCAAAAUCACAUCUACUUUACUGUACAAAAGAGUUCUAAAAUGGCUUGCCUGUGUCUAUAGCCUUUUUAGAUAUCUUACAUGGGUUCCUUCUAUAUGAUCGUGACUCUAUGUCUAGAGUUGACUACAACUGUCUAUCGAAUACUUGCUUAUUUCAUUUAAUUUUAAUCCAACGAAUCCAACCCUUUCGGAAUUAGAAUCAGUUUGUAGCAUGCGAAUAGCCUUCUAUGUCUAGAGAUCAUUGCAUUUUAAUUAAGAGAUGAGAAUCAAAUGAAAUAGUCAAGUAAAUGGGAUAUAUACGGCAUUCAUAAAAAUAGUUAAAGUUUCAUCGAAAGCAAUCCCAACCCUAUGAGAUUUAGCUUAUGGGCUGGGAAUUAAAAUUCCAAACCAAAUAUUAUUCGACAUCGCGUUUAACUACUACAAUUCAAUCUUUCAAAAGAUAUAAUAGAAGAACUUCAGGAAGUAGCUUUCAUUUGCCCAAACCACACUUUGGCAGCACAACGUCCUAUGAUGGCUAAGAAGGACUACCUUCGACUUCCUGUCCUUUGCACAACCAAACCCUUAUUCACGCCUAAGGAUCUUUCUCACUUUUUCUUCGCUAUUUUUUAGGUCUCAUUCAUCGACUUUUAUAGAUAGAUUAGGCUAGGGUCGGCUAAUAGCUCGUGAUUAUCUUCUCCUCUUUUAGAGGGGUUUAUUUGGUGCAAGUUUGAAUUUGAAUUUGAACUACUUCAUAAAAAAUGUUGACUUGGUCUUCUUGACAUUGCCAUGGCAUCCAUGAUGGCAAAUUGUCUGCACUUUGCCCUAACAAAAUUUCCUUGUUCCAAAACAUGUUCCUUCCACACUAACACAAAAAACUCCACCACAAGCGAUUAAAAGAACCUAAUUCCACUACAGUCUAAGUUCUAAUAGAAUAUAAAAAAUGUGAACUAAAAUGUCCUAAAAAUGCAAUGAAAUUUUACUUAAGUACAAGCAAUUAGUUAGGUCUAAAGGCAUGAAAUAUAAUUCUUUUCAAGAGUUAUCACACCCCCAAACCUGAGUUAUUGCUUGUCUUCAAGCAAAAUACAUCUAAAUGCAUGAAUGCACCAAUCUUACCUUGGCAAAAUAUACUUUCUCGUACUACCUAGCUAUUUAAAAACAAUUUAUACCUUUGUUCUCAGUAAUCUUCUCUUUUCCUAAAACUAAUUCAAUUGUUACAAGUUUGUUCAGCAAAGAUAAUGCAAAAAUUUCUCCCUAAAAACAAAAUUUCCUAAGUACCCAUGCAUUCUCUCUUUCAUCCUAUAGCAAAUAUCAUUUUUAUUUACUUAGUUCAUUUGUUACUUAAAUAAAAGUCACUUGCUUCAAGUCCAUAUCAAAAUAUGUUAUUUUUCAUAUAUUUAUUCUUUCUUUUUUUCUUGAAACUGUAAAGUACAUUAUUAUUAGGGGAUUUAGCAUGUCACAAAAUUUUUUGACUUGAAAAUCACGAUGGAGCAUACAAAGGAUUACCGAGUACUCAAUCAUGUCACAAUUUAAACCAAAAGUCAUUCAUGAAGCUAAGGCUUUUAACUAAAAAGAUGGAUGAAGCAUACGACUGCCUCCUUAGCUACUCAGUUAUUUGCUACAACGGAACGCCCCUUAAAGUUAUACCACACACUCUUACGUAGGUCUUCCUUUCUAAUCAACAGUACGGUGGAGCAGACAAAGUGAUUUUGACCUACUUAGCAACUCUAAGCAUUAGAGUGCAUAUUUAUUUAAACAAAAUGUUGUGGCAAUUUACUAAUGUUUGGUUUCAAAAAUCCCUAAGUGUAUUAAAAAGAUACUAUAUUUCGAAAAACCAAAAACAAUACAGAGUAUAUGACAUCCCAUCUUUAGAAAUCAAUUUCCAAGCAACUUAGCCUAAGCUAACUUCUCCCAGUCCAUUAUUGCCUGUUCAGGUAUAUCAAAAAAAAAAUUAAGCUCAUCAUCGAACAUCAUAAAGAAAAAUUGUACUUCUUAUAAAGAAGGCCGCAUUUCAAUAGUUAUUAUGUCAUGGCAAAAUAUCCUAUAUACCAAAAUGAACAUACAAAAUGCAACCUAGAUGAACAAACCCCCAAACCUAAGGGAUGCAUUGUCCUCAAUGCAUGUAAAAUCAUAAACAAUAUAUAACAAGUACGAAUAUGCACACAAACAAGAAAAAAAAACUUAUGCAAUGCAUGAGAGAAAAAUAAAACUUAACCUCCUUGGACUAGAAUGUUGGUACUUCAUUCAAUUCUUUCUCGUGGACUUGUGAGCACUGAAUUUGUAUCGCAUCUUUCUUUUUCGUAGGUUAACUUCCUCACCUUCUUUGUCAGUCUCUGUUAGUCCAUCGAUCAGUUGAUUGAUUGAUUGAUCCUGUGCAAUCAUGGAGAUGGAUGAAGAAAUCGAUUCAAGAGUUUUACCUUUUUCAGUGGCAAUAACUAGUGCAGUGGUGGGGACACUUGUUUCUUCCUUUCCUUCUUCUAUUUCUUUCUCUUAGUCAAUAGAGGUUGACAUUUCUAAUUCAUUUUCAAUAACUAUUCUAUUAUCUGCAAUGACUCCAUCAAUCACGGGGUUAGUUCUGGCAGAUGGUGGGACAAGUUCUUUUCUGCACUCCGUAGAUAAGAGCAAAGUAGCUUAGAAAGUAGGAAAUCCUGGUAUGGUCUCGAAAAAACUUUCUGAAGUGAUUUUCUUAAUGCCAAAUCCCUAUAUUUCACAUAUGACCAGUACCUAGCUUGGUGUUUAUUGCUUUGUUCCAACUCUUCCAUCAUCUGGUAUUGCUGCAUCUCAAACAGAGACGACCUCUAUUCUAACAGUUUUAAAGAAUUCAAGAUUUUCUGGUCAUGAGAGGCGGGAGAUGUUGCUGUGGUAGGGGAAGCUUGACUGUGUUGGCAUAUUGUGGCAAACUCAGUUCCUCGUAGCUUAGAAAAAAUUGUUCGCGUUAUCCCUGUAACACCCCUAACCCGUCUCCGUCACCGGAUUACGGUUACAGAGUAUUACUAUACAAUCAUAAAACAUUUAACAUCAUAAUGUUUAAUAAUUUAAAUAUAUCAUAAACCAUCCAAUCACAUGCAUGUUGUCCCUAAAUCGAGCCUUAGAGGCCUUAAAAAUAGCUUAGAAGUGAUUCGGGACUAAUUCGAAACAAAUUAGAAGUUUUAAGAAAAUAUGUAAAAAUUAGAAAACAGGGGUCACACGGCUGUGUGGUCAAGCCGUGUGACAUAACCCCAGGUCAUGUAACAUUCGAACAAGGGACACACGGUCGUGUCCCAGCCCGUGUCCUCACCCGUGUAACUCUCUAACUUGCCACACACAGUCGUGUGCUAGGUCGUGUAACUCACUGACUUAAAACACUAAGAAAUUUCAAAUGAAACACGGUUGUGUAGCCAGGCCCUAUGUGUCACACAACCGUGUGAUAGCCCGUGUCCUAGGCCGUCUGAACCCAAAAUUUACCUAAAAAUCAAGUCAUUUCAAAUCCAAUUCAAGCAUAAUUAACCAUUCCAUUUGGGCACACAUUUAAGGGUUUAAACAUCAUUAAACACACAUAAACAUGCCAUUUCAAACAUCCUGAAUCACCCAACCAAUAUGUCAUUCAAAGGCACCACAAUUGUAUCAAACAUUAAGAAUCAUACCAAAGCAAUUUGACCAUAUCACAAACACACAACCUAGUUCACUUUACUACUAUACAUGACCAUUUGCAAUGCCAUCAAAACAUGCCAAACGAACUUUGUAUACAAUCACAUGAAAGUGACCAAAUUGACAAACUUGGUAAGGCAUUUUAGUGCACCAAACUAAACCAUAAACUUCAAAGCAUAAACAUCCCAACACAUACAUUACACAUCAUGAAAUACUAUUACAAAGGACCUAUACAUGCCAAUAUUAACCUCGGCCAAAAUACACAAAUUCUACCGAAAUAGUUGUUGGAUAGUGUGAUAGGUCUCCAACGAGUUGCCAACCGAUCGAGCUUCUGAUAAUCUAUAAAACAAAGAAAAAUAAUUACGUAAACAACGAGUGCUUAGUAAGCUCAUAGAAAAUGUAAACAUAACUUACCAUUUCAUUUAUACAAUUCAUAGAAUAAGCAUAAGUCAUUACUAAUCCCAUAAGCUUAGUAUAAGCCUAUACAACAUCACCAACUCACAAGUAUACUUUCCAUGAUACAAAUGAAUUCAACCAUAAGAUAAGUAGUUUUCCAUAUAUAAACAUAUCAUUUAAUUCAUCAAUAUCUUCAUGAGAUCAUGAUUCAUUCCAUUUGCAUACUUACCAUUUCAUUUCCGUUUCUUACCCGUUGAAUCAUCUAGAAUUAUAUCGGAUACUAGGGAAAGCUCACACAUAGUGUGCCUUUACAUAUAAGCAUAAAUUUUCCUUUACAUCAUUGCUUGCGUGAGCUGUGAAAUGGGCCUACUCACAGGAGCUGUGGUUCGGAAUGUAAGCUAUAUGAUGCUACUCACACGAGCUGUGGAGAGUCCGCAACAAAUGCAAGACCUUAGCCAUCGGUAGGACAUUCAAGACUACCACCCGAAACAUGAAAUCCCCAAUGACAUGUCAUUUCUAUCCUAAGAAUUCUUAAGGUUCAACCGAGAUUCAUUAUCCGUCAAUUCAUCACAACAUAGAUACAUUUAUGCAUAGAUUCAUUUAUAUUAAAACAACAUAGCAAUUAGUCAAUUAAGCUAACAUUAAAACAAUCAUAGUCCAUACGAACUUACCUCGAUAAAUAUAGUUGUAAAACGAAGCCGACGACUAAUCCAACAUUUAGCUUUUCCUUGAUUUUGAUCUGUUUGGCUCGUUUCUUAAUCUAAAUAAUAAUUUUUGUUUAAUUAAACCACUCAAAUAACUUAACAUAAUUAAUUCAAUCCUAUAAUCCAUAUUAAGGUGAAUUCACAAAAUUACCCUUAAUAUUUUAAAAAUUAUGCAAUUUAGUCCCUAAACCCGAAACUUGCAAUUUCACCAUUUUUAACCAUAAAUCAUGCUAGUCAAUUUUCAUCCAAUCUUAUAACAACCUAUAUUUAUCCACAAUUUACAUUAUUUUCCUUAUAUUUUACAAUUUUCAUAAAUAUGCCCCUAAACUUGAAAAUUAUUGAAAAUUAUCAAAAAUUACUUAACAAAAUACUUAUAUUUAACAACCAAGCUUAAUAAUCUAUCAUAAAAUUUCAAGAACAUAUCAAAUCCAUUCAUGUUAUAACCUAUAACAUUUAAAAAUUUUACAAAUUGACCCCCGAGCUAGCUAAAUUAAGCUAAAACGAGCUCAAAAAAAUUUAUGAAAAAUGGAUUAACAAAGGCUUACUAUUCAUGAGCAAAACCAAGGCCGAACUUCAAGCUUCAUUGCCAUGGAGGUUCAGUGGAAGAAAAAUUAAAAUGAAAGAGAUAAUGCUUUCUUUUAUGCUUUUUAGUAUUUUAACAUUUAAUUAAUAUAAUAAUAUUAUUAUAAAACACUUAAAUUUUAAUCAAAUUCUAUAACACCCCAAACCCAGUCUAGACGUUAUGGUCGAAUAUGACGAUGUCACAUGGUAGUGCUUUUGGAAAAACUAUGUCAUCGCUAAAUUGUCUUUUCUAUUUAACCAUUUUUUUAUUAUCUUAUGUUAACUUCAAAUCGUGUCAUUCGUUUUCAAAACAUUAUUCAUUUACAAAUCUUUAUUCAAUUUCAAAUUUUUUUUAUUUUUAUUGCGGAAGCUUUUAAACAGUUUGCUUAUUCGUGGUAUUUUUGAUAAAACAUUAAUUUCAUUUGAAAACCCGAGUUUUACCUAACACUAGUAGAUUUAAAUCAUAAAACUGUAUAAAAUCAAAAUUUAAACCAAAAUUCGUAAAGGCCAUAAUUACAGCAAAAUACUCCCAAAUAAAAGUAAAAUCAUAAAUAGGUAAUAAACAGUGUAAAAGAAGUCAUGUGGCCACCACUGAGUCCUCCACCGCACCGAUCCGCCUAUAUCUGAGGAUUACCUGUACAGAUUAAAUAGAAGGGGUGAGUUUACGUAAACUCAGUGUGUAAUCCCCAUACAAAUAAACAGACAGUAAAUAGAUAAUCACAGUUUGGGAUUAAGCCCUUUUCAUUAUCAAUAUUAGUCUAGUUUGGGCCUUAGCCCAUCUCAAAACAAAAACAGUCAUGCAAUAGGGCUUUAGCCCAUCACAGUAUCAGUAGCAGUAACAAAUAUGCAGUCACAAAAAUCCUACCCAUCCAGCCUCUACACACCAUCUCCGUCCAACCCUACACUCCAUGUGGGGAUAUAAUCAACCCACCCAUCCCUACACUCCAAGUAGUACCGAAUACUGCACUAGACAGUAGUUUGCAGCUAAGCUACUAGUAAAUUAGGCUCGAGGCCUUUCAGUACACUUCCUCCGAACAUUCUGAUCCCCCAACCCAAUGCAAUGCAAUAUACAGAUAUGACAUGCUAUAACAUAAUAUCAUGCAUGUAAACAGGGCAUAUAGUAUCAAAUCAGUGGGACAUCAUCAGGCUUAAUCAUAUAAUUCAUACAGUCAUUUUAGUCAAUUAGGGGUCUAGGUAAGCUUACCGACCCUACUGUAGGUUCACAGUCGACUUGGACGACAAGUGCAACCUUAUCAGUCAAACUGUGAAAAUGGGCCUUGGCCUCGUGAUCCAUUUUAAUGUAACCCGUGCUAGUUAAUUAUUCACAUGCGUUUCCACUAUUUACUCAUAUGGUCCUCCAAAGUUUUCUACUUGAGUCACUGUUACUAAAUUAUUUGUAUCCUAAGUUACAGAAUUUCGAAUUAAGAUCCGCAAAUUUUCCAUAAAACCAGACUCGCAUAUCUUCUUACAAUAAAAUUUUUAGAAUUAUCAAUUUAGCCAAUAAGUACAAUUUAUUCUUUAAAGUUCCCCUGUUCUGUUGUCUGACAGUUUCGAACUUUCUGCACUAAAAAUUAAUUAUCUUCUCGUACAGAAUUUGGGUGAUGUUCCUGUUUGUUUCUCUUGAAACUAGACUCAUCCAGUAUUUUAAACAUAUAAAUUAUAACCCAUAGAUAUUUUUUUUAAAAUUUUUAAUAAUUAUCAAAAAUCAGGACAGGGGAUUCCAAAAUCAUUUUGUCCCUAUCUCACUAAAAUUCAAAGAUCUCAUAAUAUGAAAUUCUUUUGCUUACUUUGUUUCUUCUAUGAGAAACUAGACUAAAAUAUCUUUAAUCCCAUAAUUUUUUCAUCUUCUAAUUCUAUUUUCACAAUUUAUGGUGAUUUUUCAAAGUUAUCCUACUGCUAUUGUCCAAACAGCAAGCAAUUUCAGCUUUUCGCCGAAUCCCUUUUUUUUUGUGUUUCGAGUACACACUUGGUUUUAUUUGAUGCUAAAACAGUCCCCCGAGUACUCCAAAGCCUAUAAUUGAACAAAUAACACCAUAAUCAGUCUUACCUCGUGAUUAAGCAAAAUCCCGAAACCAAAAUCCUUACUCAUAAAAUGAUGAACACUUAUCGCAAAAACUUCAAAUCAGUACGUUUACGAAAUUCACGAUGAGAGCCUUAAUCCUCGCAAAAUGUUGUUGCCAACACCCCGAAAUUAGACUACUAAACACAAAAUAAUCUCUUAAAAUGAUACCCAACAACUUACUGAAUUUGCACAAGUGCUGCUUAACAUUACGAAAUCAAGAGGAAAGAAUGGUUUAGGGGGAUCAAGGGAAUUUCGGCCAUAGAGGGAGGAAAAGAAAAGAGAAUCGAGUAAGAAGCAAAGAAGAAAAAAAUUCAGUAGAGAUGGGAGAGAGAAAUUGUCAGAAAGAUAGAGAGAAAAUGACUCUCUUUCUUUUUUCGAAAAGGAAAAAAUGAUCAUAUUUUGAUUAUUCUCCCCCAUAAUCCCCUAAUUCACUCCUAAAAUCACUCCCUCACUUCCCACUACACAUCCACCACUUAGAAACCCAGUUCAGUACAACUCUUGCCGAAAUUAGGAGUAAAAAUACAACCUUUGUCGUCCCAAAUAUUUGAACCCAUAACCUCCCUCACUCCAACACUCCACUUAUCCACCAAACCAGCAAGCUCAUUCUAUUAAUUAUUUGCCAACUUUUACUUAAAAGCCUACUGACCAAAGAUAGGGCUUAUUCAUAAAAAUACCAAAAUUUUCCUAAGCCAUGGCUUGAACUUAGGACCUCCCAAACACUCCCAGAACACAUAACCACCAAAGCUGACAGAUGUUUGUGUCAUACAUUCACAAUACCCAAAAUUAAAAUUUUGGGGCGUUACAAAUUCUUGCACUUACCAUCCAAAUUUAAUCCUAAUUAUAUAAUUACCAUAUAAAUCCUCUCACAUUAUCUAAAUAAACCAAUUAAUUAAAUAAAACCAAUAAGAAGUAAAAUUUUCAACUUUUACAAUUUAGUAAUUUUUCAUUAAUUAACUAUACAAACGUUAAAAUUUUCGUACCAAACUUUAAUACACCUAUAUCAUCACUCUGUAAAUAUUUAAUAAAAAUAUUUAGUCUCGGUUUAUAGAAAUAAGAUCCUGAAACCUCAUUUUCUAAAACUACUUGACUUUAGGGUCAUACCACUUAGACCUAAUUAUCUUUCAUUUAACAUGAAUCAUUAAAUUAAUUUUUUUAUUACACUAUAUUUGACUCGUAAAUAUUAAAUAUUAAAUAUUUAUAAACUCACAUAUCGGAUUUGUGGCCCCAAAAUCACUAUUCUGACACCAUUGAGAAAUGGAUUGUUACAAUCCCACCCUUAUUGGGGGUAACGCCCUCAGCAUCAUCCAAAGGCACAUUUGUCAUCUUAUUUACAAGGGAGGUGGAAAUAGAUCGUAGGGAAGGUGGCUGAUAAUGGUGGAGGGUCUCUCUAGAAUUGUGAUUCGGCUAGAUCUAUUAUAUACCUUGUAGGCUUUGUUGUGGCUUCACCAUGGAUUGAUGAUCGUUGAUAGUUUCUGACAGUGUUUUGGCCUUACUGGACAUGCGUGUGCAGCUGGGGUUGUUGAAGGGUUUCAGCUGUUUGGAUUUUACUUUUCUAACAGCAUAAACUAAAUACUUGUGCCAUCGUCAAGCCUAUCACUAUUUUCUUGUCUUCUAACAGCAUAAACUAAGGUAGGUUGUCUAGACUCAGUUCGGUUUGCACCCAUAGCAAUAUUAUUAUUUUGGUUCUAGCCUCGUCACCUUGGAGGUAUUUGGGCUGGCCUUUGAUCUUGGGCUUGGUUCUGGGCCAGGGUUGGGUUCUGGUUCAUUCGUAGUGGACAAUUUCUUACAAGGUGUUCCACAGACCCAAACUUUAGACAGGCUCCCUUUUCUCCUCAAACAAGCCCCUAGAUGAUGUUUUCCACAAUAGUCCAAACAGGUUUAUCAUUCUUGGGGUUCACCAUGAGCUCUUUCCAUUGAGGCUUAUCCUCUUUGGCCCGUUUGACUGGACGACCGUUUAAAUCAAAAGUGCCUGAAUAUCUUUUUAUCGUGUUUUUAUUUUUCUCCCGUUCAAUACGAGUUGUUUGUUUAAUUUCCUCAGAAAUUUUGGCUUUUUCUACCAGAUUCUCAAAUACCUUUUCUUGAUGAGUUGCAACUUGCAUAUGAAUAUCAUUUCAUAGCCUAUUUUCAAACCGUACACUCUUAUCCUGUUCAGUGGUUCUCAUUUCCUGGGCAUAACGACUAAGUCUCAGGAACUCAGCCUUAUAUUCAGCUACUAACAUAUCACCCUGUUUCAAUUCAAUGAAUUCAAGUCUGUGAGCCACCACAAACCUCGCCCCUACAUACCUCACCCCUACAAUCUUUUCCUUGAAAGCUUCCUAAAAAUAUUCCUAUGUAAUACGUUAAGCCUAAGUACCUCUUUCAACAGCCUGCCACCAAUGAUAAGCUUCUUCCCUUAAUAAAGACACCGUACCCUUUAGUUUAUGUUUUAGGGUACAUUCUAGAUCCUCCAAAAUCUAUUUAGUCAAAUCCAACCAAUAGUCGGCUACAGUAGAAGUCAUACCAGAAAUUUUUUUGAAUGUUUCAGCCCUAUUUGACCGUAGUCUUUUUGCUAUGGUAAGCAGUUUCCCAGUCUACCUUCAGUUCCAAUAACUCGUUCUAAAACCCUUAGUACUUCCGGAGUUACAGCUUCAUCUCUAUUUUCCCAGCCAUUUUCCGUACCUCCACUUCCAUUAGCAGUGGAGUUCUCAACAUACUCGUUCUCGUAUAUCGGAUCUUCACCUUGAACAGUGGGUGGCUCUACAGGCGCAACCCUAUGAGGCCUACCCCUACCACGCGUACCUUAGGUGCUCAUUCUAGAUGUGAUAGUCUAAAUAGUCUUAGUUUUAUCUAUAGUUUUGUUCAGAAUUCAAACAUUAGUUAGCGUAUAUCUAUAGUUUCAAAAUUCAAUCAUAAACAAUCAUGAAUUUCAAUUUAUUUAAUCAAGAAUUUAAUUCAUUCCUAUAUCACAAGCAAUCUCACAUUUUAAUUCAUUCAUAUAUUAUAAUAAAUAAAUAAAUAAAAAUUAAUCUAUUCAUAUUUCAUAAACUAUCAAAGAUUUUUUAUUCAUCAAAUAUUAAUCAAUCAAGUACUUAAAACUAUCGUAGAACUGACACUAGAGUCUCAAGCUUGUUUUCCUGCAGAGAGUUAGGUUUUCAAAACAGUUUCCAUGGCAUGGUUUUUCCCAAAAUACAUUUUUUUUACAUGCAUGCAUAUUUUCAAUUUUUUUACUAUCUAAAUUUUAAAGAACCUAGAUCUGAUUCCACCAAAUGUAACCUCCUCGACCCAGCCUAGACGAUAAACCCGAGCCAAAAAGGUUACAUUUUCCAUCGAGGUGGCUCGAUCUUUUUAUAAAUCAAUUUUUAACACUAACCCUAUUUUAUGCAAGUGAUUGUCCGUCUCCAAGAUCAAGCCACCCUGGUGACGAAUGUAACCUCUCGGUAAGUGAGAUACAUCGUCAAGUGUAAUUCGAUGCACUCGAAGGUUAUCAUUCCCGAGAGGGGUCUCCGACAAGGGGACCCCCUAUCUCUUUAUCUUUUUUUAUUUUGUAUGGAGGCACUCUCGAGAAUGCUCCUUCAUGCUCAAAAUCAUAAUGUGUUGAGGGGAAUUUGAGCUAGCCAAAACUGCCCUUGGAUCAAUUAUUUAUUCUUUACCGAUGAUGCCCUUCUUUUUGUUAAAAACAGAAAAAGGGAUGUUGAUGCCUUUUUUAACAUCAUAAGAGAGUUUUCCUUAUUCUCUGGUCAAAAAAUAAAUUUCGAAAAAUCCAUGGUUUUAUCUAGUCAAAAUACUCCUAGGGUGCAACGCUUUUCUAUUAAGGAGUCACUCAGCAUGAAAGUGGUGGAUAACCUGGACAAUUACCUUGGAUUGCCUUUCCCUGUUGGUAAAAGAAAAUCUAAAAAGGGUUAAUAGCUAGUCAAAAAGACUUCUCUCUUUUGGUGGUAAAGAAAUCUUUAUAAAAACGGUCUUUUAGUCUCUUCCUACUUAUGCUUUCUUGAUUUUUUUUUGCUCCAAAGGGUGUGGUGGAUGACAUACAAUCAAAUAUUUGUAGAAUGUGGAGGGUGAGCUAAAAGAGUAAAAGGUAUUGGGCUAUACUUCCGUAGGAAAAAGUUUGCCACCCCAAAGGUAUGGGUGGUUUUGGUUUUCGGAAUCUCCACAUGUUUAACCUGGCUCUCCUCGGCAGACAAGUGUGGAGACUCAUCUCGGUCAAAAACAAUUUUUGCUAUAAAUUUUUGAGCUCUAAAUAUUUCCCUGGGGGUGAUAUUUUCCAGCCAAAAACAGUGGACAAACCAUCUUUCACUUGGUCUAAUAUUAACGAAGCUGCUAAGGUCCUCAAGGAUGGUUUUGGUUGGCAGGUUAGAAAUAGCACAAGCAUCAAUAUCUGAUCAGAAAAUUAUGGUUUUGAGGGCUUAAACGGCAAUAGGAAGAACCUAGCUAUGUUGGCUUCUCCCGAGAGAUGACUUACAAACUUAUUGAAUGAUGAAAAUAAGAGAUGGAACAAAGAUAGGGUGCAUGCGAUAUUUGGAAACUUCCUAGGAGAUCGAAUAUGUAACCUUCCGAUUGGUGAUAAGGACCAAAGGGAUAGGGUGGUCUGGUUUCACAACCCCCACGGCUUCUACUACUCUAAAUCAGCUUACUCUUGGCUCAUAUUGAAACAAGCGGGUUUUGGCCCCCAUCGUUUUCUUUGGAAAGCUUUUUGGAAAUUGAAAACCUUCCCUAAGAUCCGUGUUUUCAUUUGGCAGGUGGGUCAUGAAAUACUUCCCACGAUUGCCAAUAUUGCUUCAAUUUGACAAGGGUUUCAGAUGGAUUGUCCAAGGUGCGACACUAAAAAAAACUUUUAUUCACGCCCUCAAAAAUUGCCCAACAGCGAGGACUAUCCUUGUAACACCUUUAACCUGUAUCCGUCGUCAGAACAAGGUUACGGAGCAUUACCAGACCUAUAGAAUAGUAAACCAUUCAAAUCAUACAUUAAUACAAACAUAAUUAAAUUUCAUCCUAAUACAUUCAUAAUGUCCCUUAAUCGAGCCUUCGAGGCCCUAAAAAUACUAUAAAAAUAAUUCGGGACUAAAUCAAAAAUAUUUGGAAAUUUUAGGAAAAAGUUGAAAAAUUUAGACUGUAAGGGUCACAGUGUAGCCAAGCCUUGUGACUCACACGGCUGAGACACACGCCCGUGUCUCAGGCCGUGUGGACAUUCGAAUUAGGGACACACAGCCAUGUCCCAGCCUGUGUCCAUGCCCGUGUAACUCACUGACUUGGGUCACACGGCCAAGCCACUCGCCCGUGUGCCAGGCUAUGUAACUGCCUGACUUGUAUGCCUUGAACCUAUAGGGGACACAUAGCCAUGUCGCAUGGUCGUGCGUCACACACUACUGAGACGCACGCCCGUGUCUCAAGCCGUGUGGCCCCAAAAUGAACCUUAAAACACAAUUUUACCAUUUCAAGUUUGCUUAGACCUUAAGAAACUCAAAUACCAACCAAAAUAUCAAUUCAAAAUGACAUUAAUUGAGUCAAAAACACAUCAAAACCAACUUAAUAUGUGCCUAACCAAUGUACCCUCAUUAGUACCACAAGUAUAUACAAUUUUACAACACAAUAAACAUUGAUUCAGUUCAUCAAUUCACUCAAGCAAUACCUAAUCAAAAUACCUAUCAAAGGUACCACAAUCACAACAUUUCAAUUAUAUAUAUACCAUACAUACUAAUAUAUCAAUUAUACCUCAUUCUUAUAUAAUAUUUAAGUUGAUUAUUUGCACAAAAUAUCAUUCAUAACAUUUACAUAAGCCAAACAUUAACCAAAACCGCACAAAAGCCUAUACAUGUCAUAUAAUCCGAAUUAAACAUUUCAAAAACUACCAAGAUAAUUUGGAUAGUGUGACUUGAGUGCCAAUCCGAUCGUCCAACCUUCUGAGAAUCUACAAUAACAUUAAACAACACAAGUAAGCUCAAUGAAGCUUAGUAAGUUCGACGAGUUCUACGAUAAAUUUUACCGAACUAACUAUAAUAAUUCAAACAAUAAUAAUCAUCCAAGUGAACUCCCUAUCAUUCACAAUUUCAAUCGAUAAAUUCAUCCAUGUUCAGAUUAAUAUGAAAUGAAUAACAUAUCUUUCAAAUUCAUUAACAGAUUACCUUACCGAAAUUUUUCAUUCGAAGAAUGACUUACGGGUAAGAGUACAUCGUUAAUAGAAGCUCAUAGAGCUGGUCCACCCGAACACGCCAACAAAAGCUCAUAAAGCUUAACAUAAGCUCGAAAGAGCUGAACAGAAGCUCGUGAGAGCUGAUCCACCCAAAUCACGCCAAACAAAAAGUAAAACACGAGAGUUCGCAACAAAUGCUGAACCCUGGUUUACUUGGGUAAUAUGAUAAUAUCUCCCUCCAAUACCAUCUCCACUCCAAACCCCCGUCUGACACCAAACACGAAUGUACUCAAAUCUCGUGUUCAAUCCAAACUGAGUAUUAAAUUCGAUAAUAUAAUUCCAACAAUAAUUCAAUUCCAACAAUAGAACAUAUAUAUAAUAUCAAUCAUCAAUUUAUACAAAUGUUAAAUUCUAACCGUACGAACUUACCUGGAUCGAAUUGUAGUAAUUACAAAAGUUCAAUGACUAUUCCUCUAUUUUUCUUUUUCCUCGAGUAUCUACGGGAUCUUGAUCUAAAAAAUAAAAUUACUCAUUUAUUAACAUAUAUUUCAUUUCCAAUCCAUUUUACAAUUAAUACCCUUUUAUUUUUUGAAUUUACAUAAUUACCCCAAUCUUUUACAAUUUUUGCAAUUUAGUCUCUUAACUCGAAAUUCAUCAAAUUAACUAUUUUUCUCUAGUUAAUAUUUUAUCCAAAUAUACUAGGCCCUCAAAAAAACCCUAAUAAACAUCAAAUUUGCUAUUAAACCCUAAAAUUUUGACAUUUUUACAAUUUAAUCCUAAAAUUAAAAUUUAACAAAAAUCACUUUACAAAAUCAUCACACAACACAAUCAAAGCUCCAAAUACAUGAUAUUCAUCAAAAAAAUCCAAUAUUCAAUAAUGGAAACUUGCAAAAUUUUUAACAAAAUCAAAAACGAAGGUACAGGCUAGCUAGACCUAGUUGCAACGAUCUCAAAAACAUAAACAUUACAAGAAAACGAUUCAAUUUCUUUACCAUGCAAAGCUAAAAGAUGAACAAAGCUUCCUAGGUCAUCAAUGAUGAGGUUCGGCCAAGAAGAAGAGAAAAAAUGAGAAAAAUAAAGCUUUUGUUUCAAUUUGUGUCUUUAAUUUUGAAUAAAUUACAAAAUUGCCAUUAAAACCUUUUAUUUUAUCAUUUUCCUUUAAUUAGUCGUCCCACUACUUAAAAUAAGGCUUAAUUAUCCCUUAAAUCCUUCCUCAAAUAAUAAUUAACCAUUUAAUCACCUAAAUGCAUUAAUUAACAAGUUUUGCACAUUUUUCAAUUUAAUUUUUUGUUCUUUAAUUAACUAUCUAAAUGAUAAUAUUUUAAACAAAAAAUAUUUUAAAAAUAAUAUUUACGAGUUGACACGACGAAAAUUUAUUGUCCUGAAAUCACUGUUCCAUCACCACUGGAAAUCUAGUUGUUAUAAUCCUCUCCAUUGGUGGCAUGGACAACAGGCUGCUAAUUAAAGAAUAUGAUUGCUGCAUAAACUGGCUCGAGGAUGCAAUACGCGUGCUGGAUAAGAAAGCUACUGCCGACUUAAUACAAAUCCUUUGAAACAGCUGGAACAACCGAAAUAAUUUUAUAUUUUGGAGUAAGGAAGACGAUACACAGGUUGUCUAGGAAAGAGCCAAAACCUUAAGCCACGACUUUCGUAUCUACAAUUUGGUGAAUGACCCUAUUAUUCCUGCUACUCCUGUCUAUAAAAUAUGGGAGAAACCCCCGAGAGGUUACGCAAAAGUUAAUUUUGAUGUUACGAUUAACAAAAACAAAACAGGCUAUGGGUUUAUCAUUAGAGUUGAGGAUGGUUUUGUCAUUGGCGGUUGAGGGGGAUUCAAGGAAGAGACGUCGACAGAAUGGGCUGAAUUAUAUGCUUUUGAGGAAAGCUUGAAAAAGUCGUGGUCUCUUAAUAUUUCUAAAAUAGACUUUGAGACUGACAACACUAGUCUUGUAAACAAGGUGAAGAAACAUGAAAGGGACACCACCAUCAUGGGGGCGCGCAUUAAUGGAAUUCAAAAAGUUAUGGAUAAUUUUCAUUAGGCUACUAUUUGCUGGGUUAAUCGUAGCUGUAACAGGGUAGCGACUUGGCUAUUAGUAACUCAAUUUAAAUGGAAGUUGACCUUUUUGGUCUUUUUAUAAAAAAAAAAGAAUAUCUCAUUUUGUAAAUUUAAAACUAACAUAAAUUUUAGCAACAGAAAAUAAAUAAUAAUUAGCAUGUUCAAAUAAAUAAAUAUCAUCCUAAUUAAUUAAUACUAAUAAAUAUCAAAUAUUCAUAUAACCUUAAAUCAUUAAUGAUAGUAAAUAAUAUUAAUAAAUAACAUUCAUCCUAAGUAAUGUAAUUAAAAAUGAUUAUCUCAUACCACGGUUCGUAGUAAAAAAUGAUAAUAAUAAAUUAUAGGUGAGAACAAGCCGAGACCCUUUACAUGUCGAGGCCGCGGUCUAGACUAUGAGAUUACCUGAAAAGAUGGAAAAUAAGGGGUGUAAGUUAUGGAAGCUCAGUGUGAGUCCCUUUACAAUAAACCAAUUCAAUAUUGAAAUUUGUUCAGUAAUAAUAAACAAUUUCAAUUAUCAAUCAAUUCAGUACAAUGACGAAUAGGUUCGCAUACCAAUCAAUUCAAUAUUGUAAAACAAGUUUGCUACUUCAAGCAAGCAACCAUUAACGAUCAGCCAUAAUCAGUCAGACGGAUUCAAUUAUCAAAUCAUUAUACUUUACGCAAUUGACAUAUGCACCUAUAACAGUUCUAUCGAUUCGUUAUGCACUUUCCAUGAGUUUACACAAUAUGUCAUGCAACGAUAAGUUCGUUUAUCAGUCAAUAGUCCUACCCUCAACCGCUACAUGCCACAAUAGGGGUUCCCCAGAGCUCCCUCCUCCAAUCACAUCGAAUUGUGGACUUAAUGCCACCAAUACUUUGCAGUUUGCACUACCACUGGUCGUGGAAGCACAACAUACUCGCAGAUAAAAGCUGUUAGAGGGUUGUGCUCGCAUGGUAAAAUGGAUGCAGUUGGACUCUGCUUUUGCUGUGGAUAUACAACGCACACAUAUAAUGCAAAUUAAACCUGCCAAUAGUCAUGGAAGCACAACAUACUUGUACAUAAAAGUUGUCAGAGGGUUAUGCUUGCAUGACAAAAUGGAUGCAGUUGGAAUCUACUUUUGUUGUAGGUACACAACGCACAAUUAGAUGCAGUUAUAUUGCCAUAUACUUCAUCCUUACCAUAUCGUCCCCCCAUGCCUAUGCCAUGCAAUCAUUCAUAAUGCAAUUACUCAAUGUCAUUGUCAUCAUUCUAUUUUCAUUACAAGAAUAGGCAAUUCAUAAAUCAAUCAUUAAAAUAUAUGAGACAUUUAUUCAACAUGUAUAACAUUAAUGAAUAUUUAUAAUCACUCGCGAAUUAAAACAAACAAUUAUGAGCAAUUAUAUUAUAUUAGCAACCAUAAAAUCAUUCACGGUUUUAUGCCAUCAAUUAUAAGCAAUUAAAUCAUAAAUUCAUUUAUUCACUCAUUCUAUUCCUAGUCUAGGACCCAAUUGCAUAAUCUAAUUCUCUAGAUGCCAUUAACAACCUACUCAGGGAUUGAUUUGCAUAAAGUAAUAAAAGAUAAGGUAAAAUUGUGAAUUUUUUUCAAGUUUCAAGGGUCACACGGAUGUGUGUCCAGCCCUUGUGCGUGGCCUCAAGCCAUGUGCGAUGCGAAGGGAGAAGGUGUAAGGGCCACAUGGCCAUGUGUCUAGGCCGUGUGUGAAGCGUAGGUGCAGGGCAAAAUAGGGGAACACAGCCAUGUGUGAGGCUGCGUGAUCCACACGGGUAGGCCACACGCCCGUGUGGUAGGUCGUGUGCGACUAGGCAGUUACAAAUUUUGACUCAAUUUUUUCGAGGUCUCAGGCGACUAUCCCACGCUCAAGUUCGAUCCAAACACCUACAAGGGUCUAUUUUGAUAGAAAUUCAACGAUCUAAUGACUAAAGUUCCAACAAUUUGGAAAAGAACAAUUGAUGGGGAGUUGGUUGAAUUU